rnacentral:rRNA from 1 species
UACGAAGGGGGCUAGCGUUGCUCGGAAUCACUGGGCGUAAAGGGCGCGUAGGCGGCCGAUUAAGUCGGGGGUGAAAGCCUGUGGCUCAACCACAGAAUUGCCUUCGAUACUGGUUGGCUUGAGACCGGAAGAGGACAGCGGAACUGCGAGUGUAGAGGUGAAAUUCGUAGAUAUUCGCAAGAACACCAAUGGCGAAGGCGGCUGUCUGGUCCGGUUCUGACGCUGAGGCGCGAAAGCGUGGGGAGCAAACAGG